GUGGGCCAACAAAGAUCUCUGAGUCAAAUGCGAGAAGAAUGGUAACAUCAUUACAUACUCCAAGUACAAUUUCUGUAUUUCCCAGAUAUGACCAACAUCUGAAGUUUUGGUUGGAUCAGACCAUAAUGCCUGGUGUAUACUUGUCCAACCAUGAGACAGUACAUGAAUCAGAUGAAAUUGCUCGGUCCAAGUUCAUACUGGGGUAUAUAUAUCAAGUUGUUACCACAGGUAUAUUGCUCAAUGCCUAAAACCUCCUCAUCAGAAACCACUCUUCUCAUCUGAUUCCCCUUUUCCUCUUACCUUUUUCUCCAUCAGGAGCUUGUUUCCUCUCUUCUAUUUUUCUUUAUUUUUUUUCUCCAGGUUUCUCCCUUUUAGCAUCAAAUUUCUCGAACUGCUUAAAUUUAAAGCCUUUUAUCUCCUUGCUACAAGAUGUAUUUCUUGAGAAGGAAUUUAGUGUCUCUCUAUUAAAGUAAAUUUAAAGCUUGGCACCAUGUUCAUUUGCUUAAUUUUCUUCCUUAAGAGUGGUAUUUUGCUUGAUGGCUUAAGUUUCUAGUUUCAUGCUUGCAUUGAUCUAUUAAGGGCAGUUCUAUGCAUAUUUUGCAUAGAUCUAUUUGAAUCUAAGCUGGCACCACAUGUUGGCCUUGUGAGGAUCCUCGCUAGGUUGGAAGAGACUUGGCCAAGAUUUGCACUCAUUUGCUCAAGAUCAAAAUCUCCAACGAAGAUUGGUGUAAAUCUAACCCUAAAUUCGAAAUCUCCACUGAAGAUUGGUGAACAUAGGUUAGAUUGCAUAUCCAGCUAAGAUCCACAAAAACCAUCCAGAUUGAUGUGGUUCUACCUAAGCACUCACAAAUUCCACUCCAUACCCGCAUAUAUCUAAGCAGUUCCACACAGAUUAGUCUAAGACUCAGUAGAUUAGGCCUAAAUCCUUGCAUAACUAACCUAAGGACAUGUGGAUCUAAUCAACAUAUAUAUAUAUAUAUAUAUAUAUAUAUAUAUAUAUAUAUAUAUAUAUAUAUAUAUAUAUAUAUAUAUAUACAUACAUAUAUAUAUAUGCCGAUCUAACAAAGAUUCCUCUAAAUGUAGGCUAGAUGCUUUGAACACCAUCUGGACUUCUGAGGAUCUAUGAUAGAUUUAGGUUUUUAACUCUCAUUUUAAAUACUGUUUUUAAUAUUAAUUGGGAAAUAAUAUCAAAAUAGCUUCAGAAAAUUACAAUGGGAACACUAUCUUCCACAAGUCCAUCAAUACAUCAGAUCAGAUUCAUGAUGCAAUCUGAUGGAGUUGAGAUUGGAGAAAGUCAUAGUUUAGAUAGUGAUAACUGACAUUUAUUUCAGGAGGGUCAUUUAACAACUGAUGGACACACAUUUGCAUCUUUUCUGGACACCAUGUGCUGCACAUCUAUGGGUUUGAUAAUGGACAUUAGUGACAUUCCAAUGUUGAUGAAGACAUUGACACAAGGCACAGUUAAUCAUCCAUUUAAGAGAAAGACUGCACUCAAGGUUAUGUUUGAGACUGAGUGACUGGUCUAAAUCUAGUUUUAUGAGCUCAGGUGGCAAAAGAUAGUUGAUGACAUCAAGGAGAUGAUCAGAAACAUAUAUCAAGGCAGAUAGGACUUUCCAAUGGUUAUAGCCCUCGUACCAACAUACAAUUGAUCGCAAUUUACCAAGUCCAAGGUUUUGUAUGGCUUAGACCCACAACUGCAACAUGUUCAUGGCAGUUAUACUGUUCUGGAGCUUAACAACCAUUAUUGGAGUUACAGCCCAUACAAUAUACACAAGCAAGAGUGCAGGAGUGCCAACUGUGACAAUGGUGUAGGCACCAACUGCCAUUUAAUGAUCACUUCUCAAUCCAGAAUUGGCACAUGGUAUAUUGACACCAAAAGUCAUGAGUAUCAUGAGUUUUUUGAAAAG
rnacentral:lncRNA from 1 species